rnacentral:rRNA from 1 species
CACGUAGGGCGCGAGCGUUGUCCGGAAUUAUUGGGCGUAAAGAGCUCGUAGGCGGCCUGUUGCGUCCGCUGUGAAAGCCCGGGGCUUUAACCCCGGGUCGGCAGUGGAUACGGGCAGGCUAGAGGUAGGUAGGGGGAGAAUGGAAUUCCUGGUGUAGCGGUGAAAUGCGCAGAUAUCAGGAGGAACACCGGUGGCGAAGGCGGGUCUCUGGGCCAUAUUGACGCUGAGGAGCGAAAGCGUGGGGAGCAAACAGG